rnacentral:misc_RNA from 1 species
GAAAUGCGAUACGUAAUGUGAAUUGCAGAAUUCAGUGAAUCAUCGAAUCUUUGAACGCACAUUGCACUCUCUGGUAUUCCGGAGAGUAUGCUUGUUUGAGUAUCUGUAAACAUCUCAAAUCUCUCGGAAUUUUUCUUCCGAAAGAAUUGGAUUUGAGCGAUCCCGACUCUUGUAAAAGAGAGGAGGGCCGCUUGAAAUGCAGGUGCAGCUGGACAUUCUUCUGAGCUAAAAGCAUAUUUAUUUAGUCCCGUGAAACGGAUUAUUACUUUUUGCUUCAGCUAACAUAAAGGUCGAAUGAACAAAAACCAAGGCUGAUUGCAGGAAAACUUGUCUUGUCUCGCGCAAGACUUGUAAACUCGAUCUCAAAUCAAGCAAGACUACCCGCUGAACUUAA